rnacentral:rRNA from 1 species
UAAGGAAUAUUGGACAAUGGGCGCAAGCCUGAUCCAGCCAUCCCGCGUGCAGGAUGACGGCCCUAUGGGUUGUAAACUGCUUUUAGGGGAGAAGAAACCUGUUCCUGCGGGAGCAGCUGACGGUACCCCCUGAAUAAGCACCGGCUAACUCCGUGCCAGCAGCCGCGGUAAUACGGAGGGUGCAAGCGUUAUCCGGAAUUACUGGGUUUAAAGGGUGCGUAGGCGGCUUAGUAAGUCAGGGGUGAAAGGCUACAGCUUAACUGUGGAAUUGCCUUUGAUACUGCUGAGCUUGAAUGAGGUUGAGGUGAGCAGAAUGUGGCAUGUAGCGGUGAAAUGCAUAGAUAUGCCAUAGAAUACCGAUUGCGAAGGCAGCUCACUGGACCUGGAUUGACGCUGAGGCACGAAAGCGUGGGGAGCGA